GCCUCUGCGGCAAACCUCAAACUCCUCAAAGAUGAUGUUUGUUCAGACAUUUGGGCGUCGCUGCAAUGGCGGCCACCGGGAGCGGGAGGUGUUCUUCUCGUUCUUCAUCUCCAGAUCUCCCUACUCGACAACUGCAGCCGAGGCUUCGACGGCGUUCUUGCCGGAGUAUCUCGCAGGCACGCUCGGAUUCUCCCGAGAAGAAUCCAUCUCUGCAGCCGCCAAGGUAACCUGCUAUACAUCCACAACAAAGCCGGCUUUAGUUGUAGAUUAUCUGAAAAGAAUGGGUCUUGAUUUGACCCAGAUACGAAAAUGCGUUUCCAGAUACCCCAAAUUGCUAUACUUCGACGUUGACAAAAACCUAGACCCCAAACUCCAGUGUCUUCAGGAGGUCGGGUUAUCCGGGUCGGAUCUCGCCGAUGUAAUCGCGAGAGGCGCGCAAUUUCUUGAGAGGGGAUUGGAUACCAAUCUCAAACCAAACCUGGCUUUUCUUAAACUAGUAUUUGGUAAUAAUGAGGAUGUGCGCAAGACAAUAAAGAAUUAUCCUGCGAUGCUUCGUACUAGCUGUCAGAUUAUGCAGGAUAAUGUUUCCUAUUUUCAGAAGCUUGGCUUUUCUAAUGAGAAGAUUAAGUGGUAUAUAUCUAGGAAACCAAUGGCUUUGAGGUUUCCUCUUCAAUGGUUUGAGGAGAGGGUGCAUAUGCUGGAAAAAGAUUUUGGGAUUCCUCGUGAAUCGCCUAUGUUCUUCUAUGGAAUGUAUGCAAUAGCUUCAGCAAGCAAAUUGUCAAUGGAGAAAAAAUUUGCAGUUUUUAGGAGUUUUGGAUGGGCUGACUCUGACAUAAUUACUAUGUUUCAGCAUCAACCUUUUUACUUCACACUCUCUGAGGCCAAUUUACAGAAGAAACUAGAUUAUUUCAUGAACAAAGUAGGGUACACACCGGAUUUUUUGUCCACUCGUUCUGCUCUUACCUAUAGUUUGGAGAAAAGAGUAUUGCCAAGGGUCUACGUCUUGAACACUUUGAAAGAGAAGAAGCUGUCCGUGAAAAAUCAUUGUCUUUAUAGCAUUAUAUGCUUCACAGAAGCCAAGUUUGAAAAGCUGUUUCUGCUGCCCUAUAAAGAUGCGGUGCCUGAGCUAUAUGGAUCAUACAAGAGUAGGGUGGGUCGAUAGUAAACUUUGGGCGACUUUCUUUCCAAUGAGGUGAUGAUCAUUAUAUUGUAUUCUUUAAUAUUCAGUUUGUCAUGUCAGAUCAUAAGCACAUUUCUAUUUUUGGUUCCUGUCUUGGACUAAUAUUAUUCUGAAGAAUUUGAUACAAAAAACCAUCAAAUUUGAAAGUCACAGACUCACAGUUGUUUUGGUCUUUGACUAAGUUUCUACUUUAUGACUAUCAAUGGUGAAAGAGAAAAAACUACACUAAUCAAUGGGGAAAGAGAGAUAAAAAGGAUACAAUACAUCAAUUUUUCAUACUCUAUGUCAUGAUAGCAUAUUUGGUUGCUAAUCCCUGGCAGCUGCACUGUUUUAAAAGUAAUGCAAUUGCCUCCUCUGCAUCGUAAUUGAGAGUGUAACUGGAUGGACAAAAAAUCCGUGUUUGGAGAAAAGAGUAGCCAAGGCGUAGCCGCAUAGGAGCGUAGAGCUAUCUGAGGAGAAAGAUAAUUGCCUUUGCAACUUGUCUGUGCUUACAAAAUCAAAGUUUGAAGACAUGUUUUUGCUUUGGUACAAGGAUCUCUUGCGUUAUAUCUUCCCCAUGAAUCACACAAGAAGAGAGUGAGAAGUGUAGUACCUCUCAUGGAACUUUGUUUUGCUUGGGGUGGGUGGGAUAAAGUCUUUGUUCUUCAUUCUGAAGAUAUUUGAAUUAUCAUUUAUAUUUUUUGUUUACUGAAAGUGAACUAACUUAUUGUAAGAAAAUUGAGGUGGGAGGUGAGAGGCACCAUGAUUUCAAAGCCAUUGCUUUGUUAAAUGUGCAAUAAGAAAUCUUUAGUAGUUACAAGCUAGCUUCAA